rnacentral:rRNA from 1 species
CCAGACUCCUACGGGAGGCAGCAGUGGGGAAUAUUGCACAAUGGGGGAAACCCUGAUGCAGCGACGCCGCGUGAGUGAAGAAGUAUUUCGGUAUGUAAAGCUCUAUCAGCAGGGAAGAAAAUGACGGUACCUGACUAAGAAGCCCCGGCUAACUACGUGCCAGCAGCCGCGGUAAUACGUAGGGGGCAAGCGUUAUCCGGAUUUACUGGGUGUAAAGGGAGCGCAGACGGCUGUGCAAGUCUGGAGUGAAAGGCGGGGGCUCAACCCCCGGACUGCUCUGGAAACUGUAAAGCUGGAGUGCAGGAGAGGUGAGCGGAAUUCCUAGUGUAGCGGUGAAAUGCGUAGAUAUUAGGAGGAACACCAGUGGCGAAGGCGGCUUACUGGACUGUAACUGACGUUGAGGCUCGAAAGCGUGGUGAGCAAACAGGAUUAGAUACCCCCGUAGC